UGGUAGAAGGGAGGAGAGAAGGGAGAAUGUAAUGGGGAGAAAAUUAAUGAGAGGCCCUGGAAGGUAGGGUCUUGGGAUCUCUGGGGAGAGAGUGGCCUCUACUUUGACCAGAGAAACUAUAGCAGUCUUAGACAUAGCAAACCCACCUCUGCCUACUACACUCGGUUGGAUGAAAAAUCUGACAAACAGUAUGCUGAAAAUUAUACAAGACCUUCAUCUCGAAAUUCUGCCUCAGCAACAACCCCUCUAAGUGGAAACUCAUCCAGACGAGGAAGUGGGGACACCAGCAGCUUAAUAGAUCCAGACACUUCAUUAAGUGAAUUGCGGGAUAUCUAUGACCUUAAGGACCAGAUACAGGAUGUAGAAGGGAGAUACAUGCAGGGGCUUAAAGAACUAAAGGAAUCUUUGUCUGAAGUGGAAGAAAAAUACAAGAAAGCCAUGGUUUCCAAUGCACAGUUAGACAAUGAGAAGAACAAUUUGAUCUACCAAGUAGACACACUCAAGGAUGUUAUUGAAGAGCAGGAGGAACAGAUGGCAGAAUUUUAUAGAGAAAAUGAAGAA
rnacentral:sRNA from 1 species